AUCCUGUGGCCCAGUAGCAGCUAUUAAUACCACCCUCGUCCCAGCUUCUAUUUUAGGGUAGGGGCUGUUGGGGUAGGGGCAAGCAGCAGGGAGCAAGGCAGGGAUUGGGGGCACAGAGACACAGACACAGAACACUGGGUCUGGACUCACUUCCGUGUGAUAAGGCAAUUAUUCAACCUGGACUAUAUUCAGAAGGUUAAUUAAUACAGUUUUGGAUGUAUAUUUUGUUUGAUCCUAUGACACUGGAUAACCUUUUCCAUCAUUUGUUGUUGACACGUCUUGGGAACGUAUUGACAGCAGCUUUCCUUUCUUGAGGAGACGCACACGGAGAUGUACUGUACGUGAAUUCUCCUCAGAUACACAUACUAUACGUGUAUCUUUCUCCCCUAUUUAUGUUAACAGAAGGUAAGAGCAGAGAGAGGGGAGAAUUCAAGGUGGCUGAUUUGGUGGAAUGGCACUAUCUGGACACUUGAUUGAUUGUGAGGAGAAAAUUCAUGGGUAUUGUGUCCCUAAAGUUUUUGGGUGAAGCCCGGAUACCUGAAUAGAAAAUGGGGUGGGAGUGUCUGGUUUGAUGAAUCAUGCAUGUGUUUUUGUGUGUUAGAGAUCAUGUCUCCCUUCUCUCAUUGAAAUAAUAGUGCUUGCCUGUCAAUGCCACCAUGCCAAUAUGCCAAUAUACAACUUAGUGUGCUUAAAGCAUUCUUGUACAUUAUAUCAACUAGGCUGCAUGACUGAAACGGCUUCUCAUUUUGGCUAGACUUGUGGAAACAUUCCCAGUGAGACAAAGGGCCUGUUCUCAAUCACCUCUCCCCUGGCCCUGGCCCUGAGUCCAAAUUCCAACUUCCUGAUAACAGUUUUAUUUUGAUUAUCAGUAAUAAUAUUUAGAAACCUGGUGUCCUCUUCUCUCUCCCUCCUUCCCUCCAGGGAUUAUGGCGAAACAACCUCCAUCCCCUACCACUCCAGUAUUUUUUACCCGGAUCAGUGAUCGGGACCUGACUGAGAUCGAGCUACAUUCCGUGGAGUCCAUCAACGACCUGCACCGCACCCAUCCAGAGCACAACCACAAAGGCAGCAGACGACCUCCCCUUCCUCCUGCUCCCUCCACCAAUGGGAACCUCCAUCUCCGGGACAGACCAGUUGUCUAUCAGACAGGGCAUCCAAUGAGAAGCCGAUGGCAGAGAAUGCUCCGAGACCUGUUGAUGCCCACCUCGUUUCGAUACACCAUGGGGUGUGUAGUGACAUCACUGACGCUGUUGACGCUAUUUCUUAUCUUCUAUCUCUUAGGUAACGUUAUUCACUUACUCUUUCUCAAUCUUGAUCUGAAAUCCAACCAGGCCUCAACAUUUUUCCCAUCCCUUUCUGUGACUGUGUUUCUGCGUUCCCCCUCCAGUGCAGCAGGGCAGCACUCUCCGGUCCCUAACGGAAGCAGUGAGGGAGAGACAGGCUGUGGCCCUAGAGGUCUCCCAGCUCAUCCAGGAGCUGCAGGCGCUGCGCCACAACCUCACAGCCAUCACGGGAGGAUCCUGAGGAGCAGAGGUCACGGAGAGGAACACCCUUCACCCCUGGACCCUGAAAGCCCCGUCCUAGUGGCCCCUGAACACUAA
rnacentral:lncRNA from 1 species